GACGAACGCUGGCGGCGUGCUUAACACAUGCAAGUCGAGCGGUAAGGCCCUUUCGGGGGUACACGAGCGGCGAACGGGUGAGUAACACGUGGGUGACCUGCCCUCAGCUCUGGGAUAAGCCUGGGAAACCGGGUCUAAUACUGGAUAUGACUCCAUGACGCAUGUUGUGGGGUGGAAAGCCUUGUGCGGCUGAGGAUGGGCCCGCGGCCUAUCAGCUUGUUGGUGGGGUGANGGCCUACCAAGGCGACGACGGGUAGCCGGCCUGAGAGGGCGACCGGCCACACUGGGACUGAGACACGGCCCAGACUCCUACGGGAGGCAGCAGUGGGGAAUCUUGCGCAAUGGGCGAAAGCCCGACGCAGCGACGCCGCGUGAGGGAUGACGGCCU
rnacentral:rRNA from 1 species